AUGAACACACGACAGAAGACGACUAAAGAGCACGACCUUGGUCUCUCAAAAAAGAAAAGAGGCUCAGCCAUUGCACUCCGGCUGUGCUGACCCCUGCGAUUUCCCCAAAUGCGGGAAACUCGACUGCAUAAUUUCUGGUAGUGGGGGACUGCGUUUGCGCUUUCCCCUG